UUUAGGAAAAAAUGCAACGUAUACCUGCACAGUUCUAAAUGUGUUUAGUUCUUCUGUACAGAAUAAAACAGUAACAUACACACCACGUAUAGCUUAUGCAGCUGAAAUAAUGAGCUUUACAGCAAAUACUAACCCAACAUCCUUAACGAUCAAUGAAAACUCUUCUGUUACAUUUACGUGUGAUGUAGACAGCUAUCCUCAAGCGUAUGUGGUCGUUUACAAACAAGAGGACGGUAGAGUUUUGCCAAACACAACAACUAUAGUAUCUUGUGAAGACAGCGGCAGUUAUGUUUGUGAAGCAAGAAACUUUGUGUAUAGUAACCCACAACAACGAUCGGUUUCGCUUUAUGUUAGGUGCUCCCUACAACUAAGAUCUACAAAUAAAAGAGAAUUUAGUGCUAAGCAAGGCAGUGAUUUCGUAACACAUUUUGAUGUGUACGGCUACCCUGCGCCCAUUUCUUACGCUUUGUUUAAAAAAGAAAAUGGACGUGCAAAUAACGUUUAUAAUUCUAAUUCAGGAAACAAAAAAUAUUUAUUUUAUUAUAUAGUUACAAAUUUGCCCUAUGGAAGUAUAUAUGUAGCCUUGUACAAUAUAAAUGUUAUAGAUUUUACGGCUUAUACACUCAGUGUGUAUAAUGGAUUUGAAAAAGAAACAAAAAUUAAUUUUAUGAUUCAUGAAGGUAAUCUGUUCUUUUUAAGCAUCUUGAAUUUAUCCAUUUUAAGGUGAUGGUACUUUGUUUAUAUGAUCAAUAUUUAUCAAUAUUAAUAAUAUAUAUUAAAACAUUUCAAUUGCAUUGUUGCAAGCAGCAUAACUCUUGUUUUAUUGGAUCCUUCAUUAAUAGAAAAAGACAAAGAAGUGGAUAACACGGCAGCAGCUGUUCUGGGAGGAAUUAUCGCUGUCAUUGUUGUAAUUGCUGUGGUCAUUAUCGUUGCUAUUAAAAGAAAAAGUAUAGAGCAGCGGCUGAAAUGUUGCAGUAAAAAGUACGAGGCUAACGCAACAACUGAAAACUCAAGAAUAUCUGAAACUAUUGGCGAUCCUGGAUAUGUGGAGAUUGAUAUAGAGGCUAUAAAUCGACCAGCAAUCAAUAGUAGAGGGUCUGAUGUAAGGCGUUUCGCUGUAAAUUACGAUCACAUAGAUGUAACGCAAAUGUCUGAUGCACAACACACAUAUGAAAGUGUUUCCAUAACGUAAAGAAGGAGUUCAAGUAAAAUACACGAGCAAACACAAUGAUUAAAUUUAAAUAAACGCAACUUAAUAAAUGUUUAUACAAUUAAUUUUAAUACGAUUUUUGUAUUUUCCAAUAAUUAGUAAUUAACUCAAUGGUGUAAACGUUAGCCACAUAAAAAUACCCCCAGGAAAAUAUAACUGCUUCAAAUUGUAAAAUUUUAAUUGUUAUACUUUUUUUCAUUGUGCAUUAGGAGACUCAAUUGGAAAAUAAUUUUAACCUAAUUUAAACAAGUAUUUAUAGAAAAUAACAGAACUAAAAUGAAAGACGGAUGAGCUGUCAAAUAUUUAAUGCUUAAACACACCAUGUUUAUAUUGUAAAUUCACUUUAUUUUACCUAUAGUUUUGUGUUUAUAAUUUUGACAUAUUAUUUAUGCAUCAUAUGUAGCCUACAUAUUAACAUAUUUUUAUAAUAUGGUUUUCAUUAUUUUAUAAAUUUAGUAUAUU